rnacentral:rRNA from 1 species
GACAGAGGGUGCUAGCGUUGUUCGGAAUUACUGGGCGUAAAGGGCGUGUAGGUGGCAUAGCAUGUCGGAUGUGAAAUCCCACGGCUUAACCGUGGAACUGCAUUCGAAACUGCUAAGCUCGAGUCCGGGAGAGGGAAGUGGAAUUCCCAGUGUAGAAGUGAAAUUCGUAGAUAUUGGGAGGAACACCGGUAGCGAAGGCGACUUCCUGGCCCGGCACUGACACUGAAACGCGAAAGCGUGGGUAGCAAAC